GAUGAACGCUGGCGGCGUGCUUAACACAUGCAAGUCGAACGAAGCACUCUAUUUGAUUUUCUUCGGAAAUGAAGAUUUUGUGACUGAGUGGCGGACGGGUGAGUAACGCGUGGGUAACCUGCCUCAUACAGGGGGAUAACAGUUGGAAACGACUGCUAAUACCGCAUAAGCGCACAGUAUUGCAUGAUACAGUGUGAAAAACUCCGGUGGUAUGAGAUGGACCCGCGUCUGAUUAGCUAGUUGGUGGGGCAACGGCCUACCAAGGCGACGAUCAGUAGCCGACCUGAGAGGGGGACCGGCCACAUUGGGACUGAGACGCGGCCCAAACUCCUACGGGAGGCAGCAGUGGGGAAUAUUGCACAAUGGGGGAAACCCUGAUGCAGCGACGCCGCGUGAACGAAGAAGUAUUUCGGUAUGUAAAGUUCUAUCAGCAGGGAAGAUAAUGACGGUACCUGACUAAGAAGCACCGGCUAAAUACGUGCCAGCAGCCGCCGUAA
rnacentral:rRNA from 1 species